GCGGAUACAGGCAAGUUGGUAAAGAUAACGACAAAAGAUUUUGUUCGUGAAGGAAGUGUUUCAAAACGAGGACCAAGGGCACGAAAGGUUAUGACGUCA